rnacentral:rRNA from 1 species
AUUGAACGCUGGCGGCAGGCAUAACUCAUGCAAGUCGAGCGGAUGAAGGGAGCUUGCUCCUGGAUUCAGCGGCGGACGGGUGAGUAAUGCCUAGGAAUCUGCCUGUUAGUGGGGGAUAACGUCCGGAAACGGGCGCUAAUACCGCAUACGUCCUGAGGGAGAAAGUGGGGGAUCUUCGGACCUCAUGCUAUCAGAUGAUCCUAGGUCGGAUUAGCUAGUUGGUGGGGUAAUGGCCUACCAAGCCGACGAUCCGUAACUGGUCUGAGAGGAUGAUCAGUCACAAUGUAACUGAGACACAGUACAGACUCCUACUGGGACCAGACGUGGGGAAUAUUGGACGAUGGGCGAAAGCCUGAUACAGCCAUGCCGCGUGUGUGAAGAAGGUCUUCGGAUUGUAAAGCACUUUAAGUUGGGAGGAAGGGCAGUAAGUUAAUACCUUGCUGUUUUGACGUUACCAACAGAAUAAGCACCGGCUAACUUCGUG